rnacentral:rRNA from 1 species
AUUGAACGCUGGCGGAAUGCUUUACACAUGCAAGUCGAGCGGCAGCGCGGGGGCAACCCUGGCGGCGAGCGGCGAACGGGUGAGUAAUACAUCGGAACGUGUCCUUAAGUGGGGGAUAGCUCGGCGAAAGCCGGAUUAAUACCGCAUAAGCUCUGAGGAGGAAAGCGGGGGCUCCGUAAGGACCUCGCGCUGUUGGAGCGGCCGAUGUCGGAUUAGCUAGUUGGUGGGGUAAAGGCCCACCAAGGCGACGAUCCGUAGCUGGUCUGAGAGGAUGAUCAGCCACACUGGAACUGAGACACGGUCCAGACUCCUACGGGAGGCAGCAGUGGGGAAUUUUGGACAAUGGGGGCAACCCUGAUCCAGCCAUUCCGCGUGAGUGAAGAAGGCCUC